GAGUAAAGUUAAACUUUACUUUACAGUAAUUUUUUUCUAUAUACAAAGAAUUACAGUACAUGUUUAUGGGGACUCCUAGCACAGGAUUCCCCUCUUUUUCACUAGGUUCACUUCCAGCUGACAAUUGGUUGGGGGGUGAGAGAACACAGUGAUGGACCUUCGUUGAACCCCUUUCCCCGCUUAAAAAAUAUAGCUUUCUAGUCCGUUUUCUUUGCCAAGACCUAGAAAGCUGCUUUUCCACGAGCUCCUAGAUGCUGUACUCACCCAACAUCCACACUCACCUACAUACAUACAAGACGGCAGCACCACAACCUGGAGACCGCCUGCUCUGCCCACCCUAGAAACAACACCAACACCUCAGUUUCUGCUCUGCUCCCUGUCUGCCUCUGUCAAGCUGCACUAAGCUCCCAGAAAAAACUGGGGUCUCUCAUAGACUGAUGUUCUAACGUCACAGGAAGGCUGCUAUAUGGGAAGAACCACAAGAGUUUAAUGUGUUUUGCUUCUACUGAUCAGGAAACAUCUCUUUUGAGGUUGUAGUUGUCUAGUUAAAAUAAGCUCUUCCAAUGUCCUUAAACACUGCCCUUAUUCUUCACAAGCAAUUGAGACGCUGCCGCAAGAGGGGAAGAGGUAGAGAAGCAGAAGGUAAUGGCUACUCCACAUCUAUAGUUCUUUUCUGACCUUUCCUGGGCAGGAUGGACAAAGGCUAUGGUCAAGGUGAUACUAGCCCUAAGCAACUCAGUGGCCAUCAUCUUGACACAGGAUCUCUUCCUCCUCUGGAUUGUACUGAAACACUCUAGGGUAGGGCUGGCAGGCAUGACUGACACUGCCUGCUUCCCUCCUCUCAGAGCUGAAAGGAACCUAUAUGCAUUCUCUUCCCAAGCAGGAGCCUGGGUUUCUCAAGUCACAACUCCCUCAACCCUUGGCAGUGCUUACUUAUACCAUGAGAUUAGCACCAUCAUUACAUUGUUUUGUGUACAAAGCAAUUAUUUUUAUUUCAAUUUACACUAUAGCAACUUCUGUACUGACCUAGGAAGCUCAACUGAGAGUGAACUGGUCACAGCCAAUCAAAGCUCCUACAGUAGCUACCUAGGUCUAAAUGACUUGGGAUAAUUAACAUGAAUAGUUCAAUUUUAACAGCAGUAAAUUCCUGCUGCCACUCCUGUCCUGUGGUCUAGAAGGUGAGAACAUUGGGCCUCUUCUCAUCCAAUGGCAAACCCCAAAAGGAGGACAAUAUCUCAACUCAGAGAGGUGGGUGUGUGCAUCAAAGUGAAGGCUCCCC
rnacentral:lncRNA from 1 species